GACGCCAACCUUCUCAUCCUCCGGGAAGAAGACAUAAAUCUGGUCAGAGGGAUUGUCCUUUUUCGCCUUGUUGAUGACAAGGUCUUCUCUAUUCAUGUGCUCCCCAUAUUUCUCCUUGAACUCUUCUUUCGACAUGUUAACCUCAAAAUCUCCUACGAGGUAAUUCCUAUCUCUAAGCAUCUCCAUCACCGUCUUCCGGAUCCUAUACAGCUUAGAUAUUUCAUCCUCCGAAAACACCAUUGUGGAGUCGCUCUUCUAAGUCCCUCUAAUAGGAAAAACAGAACUCAAGUAUAAACAGAGGCAAAAUAAACAAAUUAAUCAUAACUGUUAUGCAAAUAAUAACAGUGUAAAUUUUGUUUAGACAACUACAGAAUUAAAUCAAAUCAUAUUAUAAUCAUAGUCUCUUACGACAAGUAUAGAAACCCUAAUCUAGUGUUUGAUUUUUUCAGUGUCUAUCUAUUUCAAUGAAUGCGAAAUUAUAUGAAGUACAUUGCCACUAAUUGCAGAAGAUAGCAUUCAAAGUUGGAAUUCAUAGAGAAAUCGGUAAAUAAAAUCGAGACUUACCCGAGAGGGAGACGGAACGCAAAGGAUUUGAGUUAGGCAGGGUUUAGGUGGAGUUGUGUUAUUUGAACAAUCAAUUAUGUAACAAAUUUUAAUACAAUCAAAAUUUUAAAAAAGAAAAGAAAGUAUUGACAUAAAAAAGAAAAUAUUGACACAAAAAAAAAUUAAAUCAAUAGAGAGAAAAAGUUAAAUCAUAAGGUGAGUAUGAGAGAGAAGGUUGUUAUAAAAGUUAUCAAAUAUUAGUUGUACAUAUUUGAGUAUGUGUGUGAAAAGAUGCAUAUUGCAAUAUUUAUAGAAAACGAUAUCAUUAGCCGUGUGACCCAUGGGCCAAUUAUAUUUUUGGAAUAAAUAUUCCUCAAAAUAUUUAAUGAUAUAUUUUUUUAAUGAUAUAAAAAAAUAUUAGAAAUUUUUGGAAUGACUUUUCUCUUUUUAAAAAUGUCUUCUAUAUUUUAGAUAAAUAAGACAUGUAACAAAUAAAUAAAAAAUAAAUUUAAAUAUUAAAAUAAAAGUGUAACAAACACAAAUGUUCAAUUUUUUCUUUAUCAAUUAAAAAGUGUAAUAAACUAAAUGAAUGUAUCUAUACUUACUUUUUCAUUAUCUUAAUUACACUCUUUUUAUUUUUUGAGAGAAUCUUGAUUAUACUCUUAAACAACAACUUUUUCUUUAAUAAAGAUUGUUGUUGGUGUCAUUAAAAAAAUAAAAAUUUAGAUUAUAUUUUUUUGUUAUAUUUGUUGGUUUCAUUGAAAUAGAUAAUCAUGAUUAGUUUGAUUUGUUAUAGUUUGAAAGCAAAAAACAUUAUAUUUUUACUUUUAAUCAAAAUUAAAAUUUUAUAAAAUACACUGUUCAAACGUUAGCAUAAUAAAAAGAAUAGAAUGACAAGCACGUAAGUGUCUGUCUUUUCGCUAGUUAAGAUAAAAAAUAUGAUGCUAUUCAUAAUGAUUUUUUAUAUCUUAUAUGCUAUAUAUAAAUAAAAUAGCAUGUUUUAUCUAUUUAAGGUUGUCCUAUUUUCUUUCACAAAUUACAUUUAAAAAGUGUAACAAACUUUUUUAUUUAUCCUUUAAAAAGUGUAACAAUUUUUUUUAUUUAUCCUUUAAAAAGUGUAACAAACUAGAUGAGUAUAUAUAUACACUUAAUUUUUUAUUAUCUCAAUUAUACCCGUAAAUAACUUUUUCUAUAAUAAAAAUUGUUGUCGGUGCCACGAAAAAAGUAUGAAAUUAUAUAUUUUUGUUAUAUUGUUGGUGUAAUUGAAAUAUAUAAUAAUGGUUAGUUUGAUUUAUUAUAAUUUGAAUGAAAAAAUCAUUGUGCUAAAUCAAUUUGACUUGACUUUUGUAGGUUUUGUUUGCAAAUUGACAUUAAUUUUAUCAGUCAAUGUUGCUAUUGUAUUGAUGGUAUGCUGAUACUUUAGGCACAUUAUAAAUGUUUCUCCAAUUCAAAUGAAAGGGUGUGACCAUUCCAAGGCGUUGGAAAUAAUUUUCAACAAAAAUAAUGCAACUAGGAGUAUUUCAUCAUUCAUUUAUCCAAAGAAUUGGAGCGCAUCAAUGCCUUAAUACUCAGAGUGUGAGUCAUGUAUGAUGAUAGUUCAGAGGAUGAUCUACAAGAUUGGAGUGCCUCGCUUGCGGUAUAAAGCGAAAAACUCAAUAUCCUAAAAAAAAUGCUACAUCACGUCAGAUGGGAGAUGCACUUGCACCCUGGGUUUAAAUAUUUUUGGCAAAAGUUGAGAGAUAUGGGAGAUAAGAGUAGCAACGCCACUUCACGUGUAAAAUCAAGUUGUUUUCAUAUUAAUAAUGAGAAUUGCUAUACAUCGCGACAAAGAUUUCACCAUAACAUCACGAAAGUCCUUCAAUAUAUACCAUCCCCUAAAAAAAAAAAACAAUAUAUACCAUUAACCACAUUUACAUUUACAUGCACUCAAUGUCUACAACCAUAUGUCACCAUUGCACCUUACGUGUCUAUACGUGGCUUAAUUAUAGAGAGAAAAGCUCUUCAUAAAUUGGAGUGUACAUAUAUUAUUAUUCCCUAACAAUUAUAGCAGUAGGUUUUGUCAAUUAUAUUGAUGCACAAAAACAAAGCAAAAAGACAGUAUCACUUAUAAUUAUAAGGAAAAUUUAUAUCAAGAGCGCUAUUCGUUGUGCUUUCGUGAAUUAUUUUAUUCGCUACAUAUAGCAUUUUUCAUUAAUAAUAGGCGUUUUAAGUGUCAAGUGAGCCCUUGAUGACAUAGUAAAUUAUAAAGAGAGGGAAAAAUGUCCUUAGGUGGUUUGUUCACUUGUACCAUCAUUAAUUGUUUUCUAUACGUUGUUCGACAUACAUUGUCUUCUUUUUUGUCAAAAUUUUUCUCAUAUAUGUAUAUGUGUUCGUUCUUUGUAUGAUUGAUUAAAUUUCUCAUAUUUAAUCAUAGAUUAGAAACUGAGAAUGGAGGAAGAGAAUAUAGAAAGGAAAUCAUUUAAGGAUAUUGGCUUAUCUGAGCUUGUGAAAUCAUUUUCUGUACUAACCCUUUUCUUAAUCCAAACAGCUUGCUACUCAAAUAACUGAACAUUUUGAAGCUCUAGGUAGGUUCUGAAAUUAGUGUAAGUGUAGUGUGUCGUGGUGAGUUUCUAAUACAUUUUUCUUACAUGAUUCGUCAUACAUGAAUUUUAUGCCUCGCUCAAAACAUAGGUUAUGUUUGUUUUUGUUUUGUCCAAUGAGGCAUAAGCAUACUAAAAAAUCUAUUUUGAUUGGUAUAUUCUCUUUUUUUCUAUAGCUUGUUGGAAGGUUUGACAUGUUACGACAAUCUAAGACAACAAAGCUACCUCAUAUUAUUGUAAGUGAUGUCCAAAAUCUAGUAGUGCUUGUGUGGAUUAAAAAUUUAAUUCAUGAUUUCUGCAUUUACAAGAACGAGAUUGAGACUGUAUUUUCAUUUAAUACUUAUUAUGGUUUCUAUAUUGUUUUGAAUUAAGCUCAAGUUUUAUUUUUGACUAAAUAUACAUGUUUUUUCCUUUUUAAUGAAUUUAGGUGAAUCUUUUUGGUGGUCAUAGAUACUGUUGUUAUGCAUGUCAAGCUAGAAAAUUAGCACGACCUUGAUUUGCCUUAAUUAAUUAAAUAAUAUUUUUCUUGUGAAAUGAAAGACAUGUUGCUAGAUGGACUAUAGUUAAUACUUAAUAUACAUUUGUCAAGGAAGGAGUGACUUUUUUUUUGAUUGGUAAGAGUAUCUACAAUAAAAAAAAAUUUGUUCUUAAAUCAGUUUCACAUGUACUUGUCAUUCUUUUCUAAUUUUUUAAUGAUGGUACUAAAUAAACUACUCUAAUCCUCCAACCUACUACCUCUUAAAAAUUUACAUGACCAUUUCCACUAAUAACUCUAUCAUCUAUAUUUAUUAAUUUUUUUUUGCCAAUAAUAACUCUAUCAUCUAUCAAUAAUUAUAUAUUAUUAUAUUUUAAUAUUAAAAAUGUGUGCAAUCCACAAAGAGCAAUAAUGUUUAUUUAGGCUUUGUUUGCGAGUUUGGAGGGGAAGGAAAGGAAAGACUUUGAGGGGUGCAAAAUAUGAAGAAAAAUAGAGAAACCUUACAAAUUUUUUAAAAGAGUAGUUUUUUAGAGAAUGGUAAAUUAAUGCAUAUGAUUACUUUAUUUUUAAUUUUAAAAAUAUUAUAACAACAUAAAUUAAAUUUGAAGAAUUCUUAUUAACCCUCCAAAACCCUCCUCCAAUACAAUUUUUUAAUUCCUCCAAAUGAGGAGGGUUUUGUAUUAUGAAGAAAAGUUAACCCCCAAAGCCCUCCUCUCCCAUUUUCUUCUAUUUCUUCCACUUGCUCAUUCUUUUUUUCCUAAGCCUUCCCCUCCCUUCCCCUCCAAACUCUUAAACAAAGCCUUAAGAUAUUGUUCUCUUGGGUUCUGAUCAAUAGGUGCGACCUUACAACUCUUAUUUUCUCCACAACAUCUGCUAAAGCUUUUGAAGUUAAAUCACCCCAUUGUGGAUGGUAAUACACAUGCUUGAGUAAGAACUUGAGUAAGAACAUCAAACAAAAUAUGCAUCAAGAACAUCAAAAUAAAUUAUGCUACUCCAUCACGUCGGUUACAUAUUGUUUGACGCCACAAACUCUAGAACAUUUAAAAACCACUAGAGAUUUGCAUUAUAUUUUUUUUUGUUGUGAGAUGCAUUAUAAUGUGCAAUGAAGAAACAAACAAUGAAUAGUAGUACAUCAUAAGAGAAACAAAUCUCCUGAGCAAUUCUUGGGAAGUAGGAGAAUAGACUUAAUUCGGUCGUCACGAUUUUGAUUAUAUACAAUGAGUGUCCAUUUCCACUUCUUAUACUAGUACCGCUAAUAGCUCAAAUUUGAAUAUACCUUUUCAUAAUAACAUGAAAUCUAGCAUGGAAGUAUCAGAAGAGAGCUCUUUACAGAUAGAAGAUUCUUUACAUUUUAACAAUUUCACCAGGGAACAUAUAGAACUAAUCUAUAUUGCUUCAAAAGGAAUUUAGUCUCAAUAGACAUGAGACUGUACUGUACUCAAGCAUCAAUAUGCUUAGAAAUUGUGAAUGAAAACAUGCGCCAUGUCCUCUACUAAAAAUUACCAACUUACUAAAAUGAUUUAGGUCUAUAGUCUAUACUGUAGACAAACUAAGUUCCAUAUAAAUCUCUGACAUUACGAUCAAUAACAACACAUGCCAUGUCGUAUGUCACCCACUACAAAAAAAAAAAAAAAAAAAAGAAGCUAUAUAAUCGCUAUCCAAGCUUAUGGACUCUGGUAUAUAUCAGUAGGGAGGGAAAUCCUUAUGCAACAAAUCGGUAUGUAACAUAUCUUCCUGCAGUCUCACUUGGCCGGAUUAUCUUGACAACUUGUCCACGCUUCAUGCCAUAAUAUCUUGCAACAGGAUCCCUCACCUGGAUUCUAGGCAGCUGAGAUACAGACCAUAAAUAUUAGAUAUAGUGAACCAUGUCAGCGUCGGUACAAUUUUGUGGUAGAAUGAUACAAUUGCAAAUACGAGAUAAUAUGCAAACAAGAAAAGUACAUCCAUUAGACAAAGAUUAAAGCAGUAAACAAUAAAACCAGUAGAACUAUCCAAUGUAAAUAGAUUCAAAAGCUCUCAGGACAAGCGAACGACAAGGGUGACAAUCUGACAAACUUUCGCUAUAGGAAUAAACAAUGAAGAAGUUUUAUUUGCAUGAAAUACAAUGGAUGCUAAUUUUACUUUUCAUGCAUGCUUAAUUACAUCCAAAUCUAAAUUAGAAACAGGAACUAGAUUGUACAUCAUCAUGGAAAGAAGAAAGGUUAAAAAUCAGAGAUGAAGCACAUGUGUGUGUGCAGAAAUUUUUCAAAUGCCUAGGUGAAAUACUAUUAUAUAACUUUACUCAUUCGAUUAGUUACAUUCUAAAUAACACAAAAUUUCCACAAUUCCUUUUUAUAACUGACCUGAGUUUCUUUAACAGUGUAUCUCUCAAGUACGGUUUUCUUCUCAUUGUCAGUCAGCAGCUGAUGUUCUGGCACAAGCUUGUGAUAUCUUACAUUAACCAGCAAUUCAGCCUCCUGCAAGCACGCAUACACUAACAACAGUUACCUCAACCAUAAACAACCACCACAGAAUUUGAUUGAUUGAUCGAUUGAUGAAUUACCUGAAAAACUUCCAAAUGAAAUUUGGAGUCGAACUGAGAGAUACUGUUCCAUGCCAUGUUAGUAAGGCUGGUCUGGCAAACGAUGAUGGCCCUGUAGACAUUCUCCGAGUUCAUGCGUUUGGUGUAAGUCCUGAAGGUGUGGACGCCAACCUUCUCAUCCUCCGGGAAGAAGACAUAAAUCUGGUCAGAGGGAUUGUCCUUUUUCGCCUUGUUGAUGACAAGGUCUUCUCUAUUCAUGUGCUCCCCAUAUUUCUCCUUGAACUCUUCUUUCGACAUGUUAACCUCAAAAUCUCCUACGAGGUAAUUCCUAUCCCUAAGCAUCUCCAUCACCGUCUUCCGGAUCCUAUACAGCUUCGAUAUUUCAUCCUCCGAAAACAC
rnacentral:lncRNA from 1 species